GCGCCGAAUGUCAAAACAAACGUCAAGAUGAAAUCAAAACAUUGGCCCCCAAAAGAAAUCCUCUCCCCGAGAUAAUUCUUACAAAAUAAGGCAAACGGCCAAGAGAAAACAAAUAGGAUAUCGUGAUCAAUUAACAACACACAACAGCGAAACCUGUUUGGUUUCGCUGUUGUGUGUCAGUCUCGUCACGAGGGCAAAGCCACAGAGAAGGGACUCGUAAGGGACAAGCUCAGGAAACGCAUAGUCUCGGGGUAAUGUUUUACAUUGCCACUAUAAUGGCCCCUUACAAAGAAUUUAUUAAUAAGGUACUGUACUUAUUAUAGUCAAUAAAUAUUCAAUUACCAUUA